CAGCAGUGGGGAAUAUUGGACAAUGGGCGAAAGCCUGAUCCAGCCAUGCCGCGUGUGUGAAGAAGGUCUUCGGAUUGUAAAGCACUUUAAGUUGGGAGGAAGGGCCAUUACCUAAUACGUGAUGGUUUUGACGUUACCGACAGAAUAAGCACCGGCUAACUCUGUGCCAGCAGCCGCGGUAAUACAGAGGGUGCAAGCGUU
rnacentral:rRNA from 1 species